CAGAGAUGUUGCAACCGUGAGCAAUCGCUAACCCUUUGCUGACACAUGUCAGCUGUCCAGUGCUCCACUUCUGUGCUUCCCAGUAACCAAGAGGCCUGUCUUAGGCAUCGUUAUCCCCAGCACUAAUCGCAGGGCCCAGCAAAGAGGGAUCACGGAUUUGAGCUCACGUCUAACUCUCAUUCUACUACAACAUGUGAAAUCUUUCUGUGAACCGCGAUGAGCCAUCUCCAGGAAAACCUCUACUCAUCCUCAAGAAGACCUCCACCAAGCCUUCACUGACCAACCCAGAGCCAGUUGUGACAGAACUCCUGCCUCCGUGCUCCCGAUGACCCUUCUCUGUAUGUCUAGUGCAUCACAUGUCAGAAUGCAUUUGCACACAUUGAUGCCAAGCUGCCAUGUUGGAGAUGCCCAUGUGGCAUGGAACUAAGGGGACCUUUCAGUCAACAGCUGGUGAGAAACUGAAACCCUCAGUCCAACAACCAUCUAGGAACUGAUGGGUUCCUACAACACACAUGGGUGAGGAAACCUACCAUCUGCUGUGAAGUCUCCUUUCCUGGAAAGAAAAACGGCCGCCAUUUUGUUCAGCUCCAGGCAUUAGGCAC